rnacentral:RNase_P_RNA from 1 species
AAAACAUUUUGAGCGAUCGCGAGCAUCAAACGAAAGGCGAUGCUUGAGGAAAGUCCGGGCUCCCACGGGAAAGAAUAACGGAUAACGUCCGCCGAAGGUGACUUCCGAGAAAGUGCAACAGAAAACAACCGCCGCAAGGUAAGGGUGAAAAGGCGAGGUAAGAGCUCACCGGAGGGAUGGUAACACCCCUCGCUGUGUAAACCUUAUUCGGAGCAAUGCCGUGACGUACCCUAUGGCCUCCCGUCCGGGGUACAGAGGCAGCUGGAGGCACCGAGCAAUCGGUGUUCGAGAUAGAUGAUCGCAUAAAACAGAACCCGGCUUACGGAAAUGUUUUGUAU